rnacentral:rRNA from 1 species
AGCGAACGCUGGCGGCAUGCCUAACACAUGCAAGUCGAGCGGGCACCCGUGUGGUGUCAGCGACAGACGGGUAAGUAACGCGUGGUAAAGCGCACUGUGCUUGGGCGUAACUCAUGGCAACUUGAGCUAAUACCUGAUACGGCCUAGAGCAGAAAGAUUUAUGUGCCGAAGGUUCGGCCCGCGUCCGAUUAGCUAGUUGGUGGGGUUAUGGCUCACCAAGGCGACGAUCAGUAGCUGGACUGAGAGGAUGAUCAGCCACACUGGGACUGAGACACGGCCCAGACUCCUACGGGAGGCAGCAGUGGGGGAUAUUGGACAAUGGGGGCAACCCUGAUCCAGCCAUGCCGCGUGAGUGAUGACGGCCUUAGGGUUGUAAAGCUCUUUUCUUCGGGACGAUAAUGACGGUACCGGAGGAAUAAGCCCCGGCUAACUUCGUG